GGUCUUCUCUUUGCAGGAAUCAGCAGGAAUCGACGAAGAGUUGUCGAAUAUGACACGGGACAGCCAGGUUUGUGACUUUGGGCCCGGAACCAAGAGAAGGUAAUUUUUUGUGGAAUCUUAUAAAAAAAAACAGCUUCGUAAUUGUCGGUACACGCUGGGAGCUCAUCCUUGCAGGUGGGGGGAGGGGGAGGAUUUUUCACACAAUUCCUUUUGCCCAAUUUUUAUAUUUUCUUAAGAAAUGAGCAGAAUUUUCUCUCCCUCUGACCUUGUGAAACGCCUGCAGUUUCUCUGAGUAUCUGUGGAUUAUCUUGCUAGGUGCAAAGGGGUUGUGAAGUUAGGAUAAUCGACGGUCGGUGAGCUCUGAUUGUUCAAUACUCAUGAUGGGCAGCUGUGUCACUUUGGGACAAACAACCGAGAGACGGUGACUUCCUUUCCUGCAAGAUGCACGGCCUGGUGAGUUUUGAUCCUGGAAUCCUCAUGAGAGACGGCUGUGUCACUUUGGACCUAGCACUAGGAGAUGCCCUAGGAAGGAGGCAAUGGCAAACCAGUUCUCCAAAACCUCUCCAAGAAAAGAGACCGGACUUGUUCAGACAGUCUCCGUGAAUUGAACGGAAGGAAAAAAGAGCAACGUAUGACGAAGAAGGAAGCCCCCCACCAGCGCAUUGCGUCCUGGUUAAAGACCACGAUGAGGCUGGACAAAGGCCCUCUCGGCCCCCACGCAGACCAGUGUCCUGUCAGAUCCAUCACCUUCGGCUUGGCGCCUCACAGUCUGCCAUGAACCGCAGAAAGGGAGUUGGGAACAAAUGGGCCAUAGAGGUGUGUGUCUUUACGAUGGGAAAUUGGGAGCAGGGGAUUGACAGGUGAGGAAGAACAGAGCGGUUUGGAAUCCAGCCUAUGCCAGCAUCUUCAAGGCCGCAAAACCUGAAAGCGGAAUUUCACCUCAGCUUAAACACCUCAGCGCUUCCCAAAACAUCCCAGCCCUUGGAUGGACUAUGGGGGGAGGGUUGGGGGAACCAAGCAGUUAAUGCUGAAUUGACGCGCUGGAAGUUCAGAUUCUGCAUGACUCUCCUGCGAUGAGCGUCUGUCAGUAAACGUGCCUUUCACUUCAACCAAAGGGAGUCGAGGGUUUUACUUCCUUGGGUGAUCAGACUGGGGCAGGACUGACAGUCCCCCCCUCCCUCCAUUGCGUGAUCUGAAGUCAACGACUGAAGAGGGACCCAAACCAUUUCACCCGGCAACUGCUGAAUGAGCCACAAGUCCUCUGCUGUGUCAACCAACAACUCAUGAAUCCAGACCGAAGUAAUCUGGGCAUGCUGGCUGGGAAUUCUGGGAGUUGAAGUCCCCACAUCUCAAAGUCGCCAAGUUGGAGAAACACCGAUUUAGAGGCUCCCUGACUCCAGAUGGCUGCGGGCAGCUGACUUUCCCCAACAGACCCGUCAAAACAAAAAUAAAUGAAAAUAAAUGGACCAUGAGCAUCUAGGAGACCCUCUGAACACACGGCAACCCAUGAGGGCAUCUCUUGUCACCAGUCCCAACAACCUGGCACCACAUCCAACUUCGGCACACGGAAGAAGUCUACCUGGAUUCGACUCGAUUUGCUUCAUAAUUUAUUCCUAAUAAAUGUCACAAGACAAAUAAUAACAGUUAUUCUUGAGCCCCCUUCAUUCCGGCUGCCAUCCACCCACUGGGCACACCUUGAAGUUUCACAGUUCUCCCUUCUCUAUUUGAGCUUCCUCUUGCGUUCCACACUGGGUCUGACUGCUCGCUGUCUCCAAUUUCAUAGAGGAUGGUGCACAGUUUGUCCGAACCCCAAUUCUUCAGAUUCGGGGGGGGGGGGUCCCUCUCCUUCCCUGCCUUGGCCCCCAGGGUGCCCUGCUAGUUUCUCACCUCGCUCAGGAAGUGCUCCAGUUCGUGUUCCACGCAGACCAGCUGGUGGGUGAAAUCCUGAAGGGCAGGGUUGGUGCCCAGAGGGCUGGAUUCGAACUCAGGAUGGGCCGGGAUGAGCACCUGAGAUUGGUAGCCCCAUCUUCUUCUGGCCAUCUGGACCUCCUGCACCAGUGAAGGAGAAUGAGGGGGGAGACCUGUGUUAAUUAACCA